rnacentral:rRNA from 1 species
UACGGAGGGGGCUAGCGUUGUCCGAAGUUACUGGGCGUAAAGCGUGCGCAGGCGGUUCGUCGUGUCCGAUGUGAAAGCCCCGGGCUCAACCUGGGAAUGGCAUUGGAAACUGGCGGACUCGAGUGUGGCAGAGGGGGGUGGAAUUCCGCGUGUAGCAGUGAAAUGCGUAGAGAUGCGGAGGAACACCGAUGGCGAAGGCAGCCCCCUGGGCUAACACUGACGCUCAGGCACGAAAGCGUGGGGAGCAAACAGG